GAGACAAACACAGAGGGUGUAUGUCUACACUACACACUAAGCUUGGGCUCUGAAUCAGGUUUGAACCCAAAGCCCCCCUUCCAUGCAUAUACAAAUCAGCCUGACUCGGGUCAGCAAGCGCUCAGGACUGGGGUCCUAGGACCCCGC